UGCAGAAGCCAUAGCGCAUGCGCUGUGGUAUUACUUUAUCUGCCUAUAGCAGAAUGGCAGAUAUCAUAGCGCAUGCGCUAUGGUUUCUGUAUUCUGCCCAUGGCUUCUGGAUUUUCAAUCUACAUAAAAAUACAUAAUGCAUAGCCACGGGCAUAGGCACAUACAUUCUCCUUGUAGUCGGUUCUUCUAGAAAAGUGAUCAAGAACAAAGAACGGAUUUAUAUUGAUUAACACGCUCAGAGCUCCGCGACUAACAAGACGCAAGCAAACUCGAAUCAAGACGCGUCGAAAGCUAAAUCGGCGCAAGAUCCGAAAACGGAUAGCGAGACGUCGUCGAGUCCGAGGCGAUCACCAAAAAUUGUAAUUUAUUGCAAAAUAAACGCAUCUCAUAAUUUUCGAAAUGGAUGAUUUCGAUUUGUUGUUAAUUGCUCUGGUCAACAUGGGAGCAUUUUUGGUGCAACGUCGUAGAAACCGUGAACGUCAUCGUCGCCGCCGCGCCGUCGGCGUGUCUGGGUACGACCAAUUAACACAAGGAGAAGACAGCAAGGAGCGUUUUACAAUCUUUUUCAGGAGAUGAAAACAGAUGAGCAAAUGUUCCACAAGUAUACACGUAUGACACUGCCAACAUUCCAGCACUUGAUGGAGAUUGUUAAUCCAAGUUUAAUGAAACGAAGUCCACGGGCACUUGAACCAGAGCAAAGAGUUGCUUUUACAUUGCGAUUUCUGAUUGGAGGCAAAGUUCCAGCAGUUGCUUUUGCCUAUCGUGUUGGUUUAUCAACAGUACAUAAAAUAAUUAAAGAGACGUGUGACGUAUUUGAAA